GCCAGUGUGGUGUAUUGGUUAGAAUGUUGGACUGGGAUCUGAGAGACCAGGGUUCAAUUCCCCCCUACAUUGGCU